rnacentral:rRNA from 1 species
UACGUAGGGGGCAAGCGUUGUCCGGAAUCAUUGGGCGUAAAGCGCGCGUAGGCGGCCCGGUAAGUCCGUUGUAAAAGUCGAAGGCUCAACCUUCGAAAGCCGGUGGAUACUGUCGGGCUAGAGUACGGAAGAGGCAAGUGGAAUUCCUGGUGUAGCGGUGGAAUGCGCAGAUAUCAGGAGGAACACCUAUAGCGAAGGCAGCUUGCUGGGACGUUACUGACGCUAAGGCGCGAAAGCGUGGGGAGCGAACAGG